rnacentral:rRNA from 1 species
GCACGUAGUUGGCCGGUGCUUCUUUAGCUAGGUACCGUCACUUGCGCUUCGUCCCUACCGAAAGAGGUUUACAACCCGAAGGCCGUCAUCCCUCACGCGGCGUUGCUGGAUCAGGCUUCCGCCCAUUGUCCAAUAUUCCCCA